UGGGAUAACUCGCUGAAAGGCGAGCUAAUACCGCAUGUGAUUUUCUUGAGGCAUCUCAGGGAAUUCAANACAUGGGUUGCAAGACCUGUGGUUUCGCGAUGAGCCCGCGGCCUAUCAGCUAGUUGGCGGGGUAAAGGCCCACCAAGGCUAAGACGGGUAGCUGGUCUGAGAGGACGACCAGCCACACUGGAACUGAGACACGGUCCAGACACCUACGGGUGGCAGCAGUCGAGAAUUUUUCACAAUGGGGGAAACCCUGAUGGAGCGACGCCGCGUGGGGGAUGAAGGGCUUCGGUUCGUAAACCCCUGUCAUUGGCGAACAAGUGUUACGUUCUAAUACAGCGUGACUUGAUAGUAGCCGAAGAGGAAGGGACGGCUAACUCUGUGCCAGCAGCCGCGGUAAUACAGAGGUCCCGAGCGUUGUUCGGAUUCACUGGGCGUAAAGGGUGCGUAGGUGGUUGGUUAAGUUUGAGGUGAAAGNUCCGAGCUCAACUCGGAAAAUGCCUUGAAGACUAUCCGACUAGAGGAUUGGAGGGGAGAUUGGAAUUCUCGGUGUAGCAGUGAAAUGCGUAGAUAUCGAGAG
rnacentral:rRNA from 1 species